GUCUCAAAGAUUAAGCCAUGCAUGUCUAAGUAUAAGCAAUUAUACAGCGAAACUGCGAAUGGCUCAUUAUAUAAGUUAUCGUUUAUUUGAUAGUACCUUACUACUUGGAUAACCGUGGUAAUUCUAGAGCUAAUACAUGCUAAAAAUCCCGACUUCGGAAGGGAUGUAUUUAUUAGAUUAAAAACCAAUGCCCUUCGGGGCUCACUGGUGAUUCAUGAUAACUCCUCGAAUCGCAUGGCCUUGUGCCGGCGAUGGUUCAUUCAAAUUUCUUCCCUAUCAACUUUCGAUGUUUGGGUAUUGGCCAAACAUGGUUGCAACGGGUAACGGAGGGUUAGGGCUCGACCCCGGAGAAGGAGCCUGAGAAACGGCUACUACAUCCAAGGAAGGCAGCAGGCGCGCAAAUUACCCAAUCCCGACACGGGGAGGUAGUGACAAUAAAUACUGAUACAGGGCUCUUUUGGGUCUUGUAAUUGGAAUGAGUACAAUUUAAAUCCCUUAACGAGGAACAAUUGGAGGGCAAGUCUGGUGCCAGCAGCCGCGGUAAUUCCAGCUCCAAUAGCGUAUAUUAAAGUUGUUGUGGUUAAAAAGCUCGUAGUUGAACCUUGGGCCUGGCUGGCCGGUCCGCCUCACCGCGUGUACUGGUCCGGCCGGGCCUUUCCCUCUGUGGAACCCCAUGCCCUUCACUGGGUGUGGCGGGGAAACAGGACUUUUACUGUGAAAAAAUUAGAGUGCUCCAGGCAGGCCUAUGCUCGAAUACAUUAGCAUGGAAUAAUAGAAUAGGACGUGUGGUUCUAUUUUGUUGGUUUCUAGGACCGCCGUAAUGAUUAAUAGGGACAGUCGGGGGCAUCAGUAUUCAAUUGUCAGAGGUGAAAUUCUUGGAUUUAUUGAAGACUAACUACUGCGAAAG
rnacentral:rRNA from 1 species